CACAUCCCGUCAUGCCGUGCGCGCCUACGUCCGCAGAGAGCAGCAUGUGCUGCGCCGCUGCGCUCCAACUAUGGCUCAGUGAGGCUGCGGCUCUGCUCAGGAGCGCGUCUCGUCGGGAGGAACUCUACGAGGAGCCGCAGCAGUUUCCAUCACCGCAACUGGAUCGUGCGGGAAGACCCGGCGUCUGCCGCCACUUCACGGGAAUAAUCACACUUGAUUUGCCACGAAGCGUAAAGGAUUCUUUGAUCGCGUCAAGAGGAUUAACUUACUCUCAUUUCGAACCUGACACGCGCGGGGAAGUUAUUAUUAUUGCUGUUUUUGAUUGAUCACGAUGACCACAGUUGAUGGAUUCAGAAUCCCGGCCAUGGAUCUCGCGCGUUAUGAGGAAUGUAGUGUGAUCUGGAUGCGCGUCCUGCUGCCGCAGCGCCGGACAAGCCGAGCCUCCUGGGAUAAUUGGGAUACACGCGUGGUCAAGUUUGGCAAUUGUCAGAGAUGGUCCGUGUCAUGUGCUGCCAUAUGUUUGUUGAAACGGAUCCUGCUUUGGGUUUUGGAAGCAAGAUGAUAACUUGGAAUGUAUCAGGAGAUGUCCAGUGAUUUGGAUAAUGCGCACCACCUGGACCAACAGUGAACCAAAUUCUUGGGAUGAGAUGCCAGCCGUUAACCGCCUCUCAGCGAUCCCGCGAUGAUCUUCGGUGAGCGCCGAGAAGAGGCUGAGUAAUGGAAACAUGAUCUCAGGAGAUUCGGCAGGAUCAUAUGAAAUCCCGGUCUGGACUGCGAACCAGCGUCGGCCUGCAGCAGAUGUUCGGUCCUGGCGCCGCUACUGACGGCCUCUGAGCUCCGUCUGUGACGGUCGACGGCCUCGGGAUCCACUCAGCGGAGACACGGCGACACAAACCCAGCAGGACGGCGGAGUCGACCCAGUCUGGAGCGACGGGCAAUAGAAAAUGCCAGCGUGGACACUCACUGCAGUUACCUCGACUGACCUGCAAAUUGUUCCAAUUUGUUCCUUUCCGUAUGUGCUUUUGUCUCGGUGACAAUGCAGCUCAUGGUACUUUACCCUCCUUCCUCUCUCCACAAGCUGCUCCCUCCUUCUAGAUGCACCUUAACUUAGUUCUGCAGCUGUAACUAGAAAAUCUAAAUUAUUUAUUUGGAACUCCUUAAAAGAAAAUCAUGAUGGGAUUAUCAGAGUGGUUAAAGGUAUGCACUUAAAAAAUACCAUCAAAGUAAGAUACAGGUUCUGCCAGUCUUAAUUCAGAGGGCGCUGAUGGAAAAAGCACGUCAUUGUUUAUCGUGAACCUUGGCUCUGUUCGAGGAUCUCCAGUGAGGCUGUGGGGUCACACGAGUGGAAGCUGAGCGUCAAAAUGUAUUAAUAAUACUUGAAAUUACAGAGAAGCUCGGAUUGGGGUGAUGUGGUGUUUUCAUGAUUAAGUUUAACAGAAUUAUUCCUUUUUAAUUUCCCACUAACAUGAAGCUGUUACGUAGUGAACAGAGUACAAUGUGUCCACUGUGUGACGAUUAAAUCCUUUUAAAAGAUUCGUAAGAAGCUGCUGUCAUCAAGGUGCAGAUAAAGACACACUCCCACAAAGAAAAGCACAUCAGCAGCCUGUACCGGUUAUUAGUCAUGUCAGGGUAUCUAAUGCCAGAUCUAUUUAUUGCUUCAUGAGUUUUGUUGUGUCUGCAUGACUCUGCUUCAUGAUGGGUUUUUUUUUUUUUUUAAAUUGCAGCAGCGGAACUUGUCAGAUCAAUAAUAAGAGGCUUUCGUGCCAUUUGUUUUUAUUCUGCUGUGCGUUCUUUUCUUGUUGGUUAUUUUUUUUUCCUUUUGUUAAUGAAA